UACGUAGGGUGCAAGCGUUAAUCGGAAUUACUGGGCGUAAAGCGUGCGCAGGCGGUGAUGUAAGACAGAUGUGAAAUCCCCGGGCUCAACCUGGGAACUGCAUUUGUGACUGCAUCGCUGGAGUGCGGCAGAGGGGGAUGGAAUUCCGCGUGUAGCAGUGAAAUGCGUAGAUAAUGCGGAGGAACACCGAUGGCGAAGGCAAUCCCCUG
rnacentral:rRNA from 1 species